GACUUGAAGAGCAACACGUGCUGAUGGCUGCAUGACAUUCAACUUUGUGAGGCAAGCUUGGAUGCAGCAGAGCAGCUCUGAUCCCAGCUGUCUCAGGGAUGGAGGCCAGAGGACAAAGCCUAUGGAUGGAGGGUGUGGAAGAUCUCUGACUAGAUUACUGGGAUGACCAGUGAAAGAAAGGCUUUUAUCUCUCUACAAAUCCAGGCAAAGUUCAAGAAGCACAACUUCACUUAAACUACAGUUUAAUAAAAAAACAAUACCUAACAGACAGCACUGAUCGCUACAAGACUGGUACAGCUUUACAUUACUAGGCUUUGCCACAAAGGACAAACAACAAUUGCCCAGACCAGCAGCAGUACAACAGAGAGCAAGACAUGGAAUUGCUGGAGGACAACACUAGUUUUCCAAAGAGUGAUCUCAAAUGCAUCAGAAAGCAACUAUUUGAAGAUUUUAUUUCCAAUUUGCAGUGCCGUUUUCCUUAUCUGUUACAAUGAACUCUUCCUGAAAAAUAAGGUCAUGAGGAAAAAGAAGACAUUCAUCUGCAUUACAUCUCCUGCAACUCAUGGUGAUUGAAAACUUCAGCCUAUAUUUUUCACUGCAAAUAGAAGUUGAUGCCCAGUCAUCAGGACAAUUCCUGAGAGAUAGUGUUCUGGUUCUAUAGCACUACUUGCAAGAGAAGAGCCAGCCUGAACUGAAAUAGGUUUCUUCACACCUUCCAGGGACUGAUGAAUGCAUCUUGAUGUAAUGGCCUGAAGGAAGAAGGAGGAAAAAAAGCCAAAUCCAGUUCCCAUCUGUUUCCCUAAAUGAAAGGGAACAAAAACCCCACACAUAUGCAGAACAUAUUCAGAAGUCUGCAAAUUUUAUGCAUCUUGAGAUGACAGAUUACAGACCUAAAUAACUAGGGGGCAAAUGAGCAGCUGUGAAAGUGUCCAUUGUAGACAAAACAUUAGCAAGUACUUUAGUCAUGUUAUAUUGUACAAAAUGUCAGAAAGACAAAGAUAAGAGAUGAAUUGAAAGAAAGCACUAGAAGCACUAUAGAUUAGACUAUGGCUGCCCUCUUUAUCCAAAUCUUAGUUAUGAGAAGACUCUAAGCAAUUACAAAGAGCUUGUAGUUUACCCUCAUUUCAGUAUUUUCAGAAGAUGGCUUAGACAUAAAACUUACACUCUAUUCUUCAAUGAUUCCCUACCUUUCAACACUGUAAUUGCUUCUCCUAAGAUUAAGCCUUUCCUGUAAUCUUUGCUUUGACUAAGAAUAAAAAUAAGCCAGUACAAAAAUGACUUGCAGGUUUUUUUGAGACAAAUAUGUGCAAGCAUCACAGCACUACUGACUGGUACCAGUCAAUCCUUGAGGUUUUCUUAAAUGUUAUUACCUUAUACAAGCCACGUAUGCCCUCUGUCCUGUAUAUCUUUAUAAGAGCAUCAGACAUUCCUGCGUACUGUCGCUUUGAGGGAUCAACACCAGCGUCGUAUUGUAAUACAAGUCGCGUCUUCGUUACCCAUAUUGGGUUUGUAAUACAGAGAGUCAUGGCUCCUGAGAACAGAUGGAAGUUAGACUGUUUUGCCCAUGCCAAAGCUUGUCCCAGUUUGUUCAGUUCAAUGUAACACGGGCUUCUACAAUGACAAAAUUACUUAUCCUUCAAGAGUACUCAUAUUACUCCUAAGAGGCAAAGUUUAGGCACACUGUUGUUUUCUCUCUCUGCCUUCAAAGCUCAA